GUAAUUCUACUCCUUACAAUUAAAUAUACUAUUUAUAUAAUAAACGUCAUUACGACAUUUUGAACAAAUAAACAUAAACAGACGAUGGUUUACUUGAAUAAUAUUCUCACAAUGGAGUUUAACACAAAAUCUCGCGAGAUUCUGCAACGCCAGACGCGAAGAACACGGAAGCUCGAGCGCAACUGUGGGACAACGAUAUUAAAAUGAAACUGGAUCAUGGAUUAACUGUACUGCUGCUUCAAAAUACACUGCAACGAUGAUUUAUUUAAACUUCUGAUAUAAUAUACAGAACUAAUGUUAUUCCUAUGAUUUAUCAAGCCAGGUAGACGCUUUAACAUUAAUGUAAUGGAUUUAAAUAUGGAAUAUAAAUGUGGAUUUAAUCCCGUUAAUAACGUGAGGUUGAGAUGUGGGAGAAAUACACUAGAAAGACGUUUCGGUGUGACGGAUACUCAUCAAAGUAACCGGAACACCACAACUGCAGCAUUCAUCAAGUUUCAACAUCUGCCGAGAUCAUCAGUAUAAGUGAUGAAGGAAGAAUGUUUUGAAAUCAUUAGAAAAAAGCAUGCAGUCUUAUCUUUUUUUAACAUCAUUAAUGCUCCUGAAUUUGUGUGAUCUGUUGUAAACUCGAGGAAACAUUAACAGAUCUCUGAGAGAAUCAGCAUCCGAUUUAUUAUGUGAUUCAUUGUAUUCAAGAUCUCUCUAAAGCAGAAUUUCUCAACCCUGUUUCUGGAGACAAACAAGCAGUUUUCAUUUGCUCUACCUGAAUCAACUUAUUGACAUCAUAAGCUUGUAAAACCUGAAGUGGGGGUUUCAGAUAAAGGAGAUACUUUAAGUGUCUUCAAGCGAACUGGCUUGGGAAGCUUUGCUUUUCAUUCAACACAAACAAACAGAGUAUUGCAACACUUCAACUGAUAGGUGGAGGAUUAUUCGGAAAGCAUGACAAUUCUGUGCGGCACUUUCAAUGAAUCACACUUUCUGUAGUGGUGGUUCUCCAGUCUCCAUCUGCUGGUUAUUUGACAGUACUGCAUUAAGCUGCUAUGUGUUGCAAUAUUUUAUCAAUUUAUUAAUUGUCUUGUAAACACGUAUUAAAAGCACUUGUUUUUGAAAAUGAUUAAAUAAAGAAGACUUGUUGCAAAGCA